CAGCCGCCGCGGGAAUACGUAGGUCCCGAGCGUUGUCCGGAUUUAUUGGGCGUAAAGCGAGCGCAGGCGGUUAGAUAAGUCUGAAGUUAAAGGCUGUGGCUUAACCAUAGUACGCUUUGGAAACUGUUUAACUUGAGUGCAAGAGGGGAGAGUGGAAUUCCAUGUGUAGCGGUGAAAUGCGUAGAUACAUGGAGGAACACCGGUGGCGAAAGCGGCUCUCUGGCUUGUAACUGACGCUGAGGCUUGAAAGCGUGGGGCGCAAACAGGAUUAGAUACCCCUGUAGUCCCUGUCUCUUAUACA
rnacentral:rRNA from 1 species